rnacentral:misc_RNA from 1 species
AACUAGACAAAAACUGGCAUGUUCCGCUCAAAGUUCCAAUUCCUGUCCCCCUGAACCUUGAAGUGAAACUGCCGGUUCCAAUCCAGUUCAAGUGUUCAGCCCGUUGGCCACCCCUAGACACUUCUGUAUAACUCGAAGAAAACCUGUGAGUAUCCCCUAUGGGGUUGGGUUGCAAAUAUCAAGUGUUUGCACUAGCAUUAUGAUUUUAAUCAAUGUUGUAAAAAUUUUCAUUUAUGAUCUAAAGUCCUGGAACCUAGACUUGCCUGCCUAAAUGAAACAAGUGCACAUUUUUAGUAGAAACUCAUAAGAAGCACGGUGGAAAAAGUUGAAAGAAACCAAGAACGAGAAAGAAGUGAAUGUUUUGCCUAUUCUCAAUCUGAAGUUGUGAAAUUUUUAAUUGUUAUAUUUCUGAUGCUUCUCAUUCAAAUUGUAAGAAUGUUCAUUUAUGAUCUAUAGUCUUGGAGCCUGGACUUGCCUGAGUGAAACAAAGUGCACAUUUUUAGUAGACACUCUUAAGAAGCACAGAGAGUAGUAAACGUUGAGCCUAUUCUCAAUUGGUCUGAAGUUUUGUGCGAUUUGUAAUUUUUAUCUUUCUGAUGAUUCUUAUUCAGUUGACCAAGGUUUUCUGAGGUUGAACUGUAUGCUUCUAGAAUUUCCUAGACCAUGUGUAAUGUUUUUUUGGUCAUUCAAUCAAUUUGCAGAAACUGUGUAAUAGUAAUGGUACUGAAUUUCUUAGAGAUUCACAAGUGAAUGUACUGAAAUAGUGCACGUUAAAGGUGUUUUUGUUUGCACAUGCUUGAAGAAUCUCUUUCUUUCCCCACACCCCCUCUCCAGCAUUUUGUAAAUACUGAAUGCUUGAUUAUAACUAGGUUUUGUGGUUAAAGCGCUUCUUUUAAGUUACACAUUUAUGUGCAUGUAGAAAAUGCUUCUUGCUUCCUUCAACAUGAUCUUCUGAUGCCCCAUUUAGUCACUCUUACUCUAAUGAACAUAUUGAAUUUCCUUUUGAACGUUAAUAUGGUUUUCUGUUCUGUAAAUUGGAUUCGAAACUACAAAUUUCCUUCCAUUGUGCUUAUCAACAUUGACUUCAUUAAAUACAAUUUCUUUCUGAUUUCCUUAUGUUCUCUUGGCAUCAUGGAGAUUCAGAAAAUCACGUUGAGAGAGGCAUGAAGCAAUUUCUACAUGCUCUUAUAAGUGCAUUACUUAAAAGAAGCAUUUUAACCCAGAAAAUUCAGUUGUCAUGCAUUCAGUAACCAAACAAUGAUGGAAGUUGAAAAACUACACAAAGGUUGGAUAUUGAAAAAGAAACGCAAGCAUGGAUCCUAAAAGCAAUUGCAAACAGAAGGAAAUUUAAGCUGUGCUAUCUCACGGAAUUAUUGAGUCUGACUCUGGUGAAUAUAUAGGUUGUGCUUUUAAUUGAAUAAUGAAGAUGAUGGGUUGUUUUGCAUGUAUUGGGUCCAAAACUAUAAGUUUUAUUCUCUUCUGCUCAUCAACAUUGACUUCACGGAAUAUGAUUUUGUAUGCUGGCAUCUUGGAAAUUCAGAACCUUUGUUAUGUUGCUGCUGAUUACAAAGCUGAGUUACAUAAAGACACACAAGCAUCACUAGAAGUACCAGGUGAAGGAUGGUUUACCCUUUCAAAAGAACGCUUUAAAACAGGGGAAAUUUUAUUCCAGCCACGAAUUGCAGGAGUGUAAGUCUAUAUGUUCCAUCAAUAUAACCUAUUGAUAUUUUUUCCUGAAUACUGCUCAUACCGACUUUCCUUUUUGAUAAAGAUGGAUGACCAUGAAAUUUUUUUGAAGGUAUCUCAUCAGAGUCUUGCAAAAUGUUUCUAAAUCAAAUAUACAAGGAGGAAAAGUUUAUUGAGCAAUACAUAGGACCCAGUAGCUUCAAUUAUGAAAAAUGAUUCAUGUGUUGGGAAAUUAAUUACAGCAUGCAUGUAACCAGUGUUUUCCCCUUUAUAUGUUUUUCUUCCCCCUAUUCAACAACUAUAUUCUUUUUUGUAUAUGUUAUGCCAUCAAAAUCAUGAACCCCAUGCAGUUGGUUAAAAGAUUUCAUUUGCCCCAUGAUAUAGGCGUGCAAUGGGUUUGCACCAGGCAGUAGGACUUUGCAUGGAUCACUGUCAUGCUGCAGAGUUGGCUGGCGAUGAUGCUUGGUUUAAGACUGUGGUUUUGUCAGGAGGCACUUCAUGUUUACCUGGACUAGCAGGUUAGAUAAACUUUUUUUAAAAAAAAAAUAGCGUACACUUCUCCCUCCAUUUUUGGGACAAAUGCAUGGUUGAAUUGACUUGAAAAGGAUUAAGAAAUCUAUCUAAACUAUCUAUAAAAAACAAUGAAGAGGCAACAUGUGAAUGGAAAAAAAGAUAUAUGGUUAAUUUUUUUUUCCCCGUAAAAUGACUGAUUACAGUAACACCUAAACCUCCAAUAUAUCAUUGCCCUAAAUGUAGUUUACUUCUACUUAUACAAGAAAAUCUGAAAAAAUAUAAGUAGGAUUUUCUUUCUUGUAUUACCACUUCUUACCAUUAAUUGUAUCUUUUAUUAUUGCUUUAUCUUUUCCUCCAUUGUCAUCAUCCUGACGUUAUUGUAUUUUCUAUUAUUGUUAUUUUUUUAAAUGAAUGUACGGGCAAACUUCAAAUAUAAGGCAAAUUAUUAAAUAAAAGAUGACAACAACUUAUUAUCUUUUUUUUGAAAAAAUAAAUUUGCAUAAAUUAUUCAAUUGAAUAAUUCUAAUACUCUUCGGAUUAUUGAAUGGAUAUAGAUAUAUAAAACUUAAUUAGUGGAAUAUUGGCCUUUCACUAUAAUUAUUUGAAUUGUGUAUUGAACUUCGAAAAUAAUAGUUAUCAUAAAAAUUACAAUUUAAAAAUUGAAAUAAAAUUUAUACUGUUAUAGAAAGAAAUAUAUUUAUGAGUUAAAAUAGCAAAAAAAAAAAAGUGCAAUGCACAUGACAAAAUUACUAGUUUGAUUAAAUUGGUGAAUAAAUCUGUGCAAGUCUUGAGCAUAUGAGUCUGUCUUUUUUCAACUCCUUUCAGAGAGGCUGGAGAAAGAAUUGCAUGAACUUCUUCCAGCAUCAAUUUGCAGUGGACUAAGAGUCAUUCCUCCUCCCUAUGGUGCAGACACUGCAUGGUUUGGAGCAAAGGUUAUCAGCAACGUAAGCUUCUUGACCAGUAAAUUUUUGUAUGUGCAAAACUUGAAUUUACUAAUAGCUAAUCCAUGGUUUUUGAUACUAUGAAACAUUGAUCCUAGAUUAAUGUUUUCUGAAUUCAACUUAAUUUGGUUUCUAAAAACAAUGGUAGUCCAGGUUUUCAGAAUUUUAAGUUGAUUCCUGAGCAUGAUCAAAAUUUCAAAUAAUGUGGAAACUGGCAUUUUUGGCAUGGUGACACUCUAGGCUUCAUCUGCAUUUUUUUUUUCUUUUUUCUACAGUUAAGCACCUUCCCUGGACCAUGGUGUGUGACAAAGAAGCAAUUCAAACGGAAAUCGAGAUUCAAUCUGGCAUGGUAAGUACAGUCUUUCGCCCAGAUGGAGCGCACAUUCAUGAGAUUUCUUCUAGAAAGCCCAGCUUUCACAUUGUAAAAAAUUGUCAAACAAUAUAUAUUUUUUUUUUUCAAAAUUUUUUCCUGUUUUAUUGAAUUAUGUUAUAAGCUCUUGGGCUACCGUAUGGAGGGUAGCCUUUCUAUCACUUGUAUUGUUAGUUUCAUUUGGCUCAUGGGAAUGGAAUAGAGUAAUAAGGACCACGAAUAGCUAUUUCUCACUUGUGAUUGAAUCUUGUAAUUCAAAAUUUUUGGAGGUAUAUUAUUCGAUAUGAUAUUAUAUAUUUUAAAUUUUAAUGAAAAGUUGAGAUUGUGGAAUAGCUAUUCUAUUGAACUAAGUAUUCCACAUUUAAAAUUUGAACCAUAGCUAAGACUAGAUAUUCAACAUGGAACCUCCUUUCUAUUCCAUGUCACUCCAUGAACUAGUCAAAGCCUAAGAGUAUAGAAAUAGCUAAGAUGAAGAACAUUUAGAUUCUACAAUAAGGUUACCUUUCGAAUAGCAUCAAGUUCAU